GAUGGCUAAAAUAUAUCAAAUUGUUUCAACGUUGUCUGAUGCGAUGAAGAUGAUAAUUCAUCCUUCAAGAGUUGACGAAAAGACUCUGAUUUAUGCUAAAGAAGUUGAUAAGAAAAGGGAGCAAUUUGAGUACUAUAACUGUCUUCCACGGGAACCUCCUAAGGUUGUUAAUCGAAAGAUAUUCAAGUUUAAAAUAAAGAAAUUAAGAUGAAUAGCAGUAAAUAAGAGAAGCUGCUGUCAAGGAAGAGAAGAAGAGAAAGAAGAAAUAGAUGUAGGGUUCUGAAAUUCAGCUUCAUUAACUCUCUACCCUAACUAUGCUUUUGUAC